rnacentral:rRNA from 1 species
UACGUAGGGUGCGGGCGUUAAUCGGAAUUACUGGGCGUAAAGCGCGCGUAGGCGGCUUUGCAAGUCGGGUGUGAAAUCCCCAGGCUUAACCUGGGAACUGCAUUCGAGACUGCAUUGCUAGAGUAUGGGAGAGGGAAGUGGAAUUUCCGGUGUAGCGGUGAAAUGCGUAGAUAUCGGAAGGAGCAUCAGUGGCGAAAGCGACUUCCUGGACCAAUACUGACGCUCAUGUGCGAAAGCGUGGGGAGCAAACAGG